UACGUAGGGGGCUAGCGUUGUCCGGAAUCAUUGGGCGUAAAGCGCGUGUAGGCGGUUCGGUAAGUCCGCUGUGAAAGUCGGGGGCUCAACCCUCGGAUGCCGGUGGAUACUGUCGGGCUUGAGUACGGAAGAGGCGAGUGGAAUUCCUGGUGUAGCGGUGAAAUGCGCAGAUAUCAGGAGGAACACCAAUUGCGAAGGCAGCCCGCUGGGACGUUACUGACGCUGAGACGCGAAAGCGUGGGGAGCAAACAGG
rnacentral:rRNA from 1 species